rnacentral:rRNA from 1 species
UACGUAGGUGGCAAGCGUUAUCCGGAAUUAUUGGGCGUAAAGCGCGCGCAGGCGGUUUCUUAAGUCUGAUGUGAAAGCCCACGGCUCAACCGUGGAGGUCAUUGGAACUGGGAACUUGAGUGCAGAAGAGAAAGCGGAAUUCCACGUGUAGCGGAUGAAUGCGUAGAGAUGUGGAGGAACACCAGUGGCGAAGGCGGCUUUUGGUCUGUAACUGACGCUGAGGCGCGAAAGCUAGGGAGCAACGGGA